CAUGAGGCUGCUUUUUUUGGCUUGGACUUCCUGACAUCAAAAAGGCCUUGUGAGUCAUUUGCUUUCUUUAGGCCCCGAGUUCCUCAUCGCUGCCAAGAGAGAGCCAAGCAAGAUGAUCUCUAAGUCCCAUCCCUGGUCCCCAAACUCUCAGUUCUAUGUCCUGUGAAGACAUCAUGACACCACAAUGCCCAGUGGACUGCAAGGCCCCAGGUGAAGUCUGCCCUGCUCUGUACGUGGCCGGGGGAGCUGGAAGCUGUGAGGAGGCUGGAGCUCAUGUCCAGCUCUGCCACCCACUUGUUCUUCUGUUUAUGAGUGACUUGGUCUCUCUCUGUGCCUCAGUCUCCCCCCAGCUACUGGCUCCUUCCUGUGCGGGGCAGGGUUUAGACUGGCACACAAGGGUCCUCCUGGGCUGUCGCCCACAUUAGACCCCCCUGUACAUUGGAAUUCCAGGAAACUACCUUCAAAAACAAACACACAGGGAGAUAGGGGAGUUGCCUACAAGUCAGGAGAGCCAUGUUUCCCCACUGCCCACACCAGAGACACACCCUCCUCCACCUAACAGCUCAGACCGUGGUCCCAGUCCCAACACUUAGGGCCAUCCGGUGACCCUGAGCAAAUCGUCUAGACUCAGAGUCCUCACCCAUAAAACAGGGGCUCUGUGAGAGCCAAAUCAGAUGCCGUAGCUCAGGGCAGAGCACGGAGUGAAUAGAUGCUCAGGAGAUGGGGCUGCAGUUAGGGCUGGGCCAUGCCUGCCUGGAUGGGCAGGCAAGGACCUGGUUCCUCUUCCUGCUUUGGCCUCCACAACAGCUCCGUUUUACCAGCAACUGGGACUCACUGGGGGCCAGGGGAAUUCAGGGAUUCUUUUAAAGGGUAUAUUUGGGUGGGAGGAGCUACAUGUCUCUGCCUCACUAGGGAGGGGAGAUGGGACUCGGCUGGGACUCAAGCUUCGGCUUAGUUAUCAGCAAUGGUGCUACAAACACCAGCAAACUAGGACCAGGUGAUUUCCUGGUCAGCAAACAAGACCUCCUAAACAUUUCUGAGUAGCAGCUGCCACCCCCAAGGUCCCAUUCUGAAAGGAAUGCUUUGAAUUUCAGGAGCCUACUCCUCUCUCCCCCAAAAUUGGUUGUGGGUAUCGGAGCUAUGAUGUCAUCAGAGCCUUGGUGAUUUGCCUCCUACGGCGGUGGAUGGGAGAGCUUGACCCAGUCUACGGACACCCCCUAGCUGGGGGCUCUCUUCUUAUUCCAACACGCAGCGUCCCGUGGAAGCACCACGCUGAUUUACCCCCGGAGUGGGCAGGGUUUCCAUGGAUGGAGAUCAUCAAGGGCUGACAUUCCAGAAUCACCAACUUCUCAUGAUUUGUGAUAGAAAGAACAUUUAACACCAAAAGUAAAAGUAUAAAGAGCAAGAUCUAACAAUACAG